rnacentral:misc_RNA from 1 species
CAACCCCUUAAGCCUCAGCUGCUUAGUAUUAGGGAUUUAAUCGUCACGGCGGUUAACCCCUUAAAAUUAUCGGCGAAGGCCGGCAAACAUCUUCAGCGUAUUAAUUUAUCCGCUUUAUGAUGAUGCCAGCUUUUAGCCGCCAACCCCUUAUAUUUUUAUUUUAUUUUACAUGG